rnacentral:tRNA from 1 species
GCUAUUAUAGUUUAAUAAAAACAGAAACGUUUCAAGUUUCAAAUCUCAAAUUAAUUUAAGUAAAAGUA